rnacentral:rRNA from 1 species
AUUGAACGCUGGCGGCAUGCCUUACACAUGCAAGUCGAACGGUAACGCGGGGCAACCUGGCGACGAGUGGCGAACGGGUGAGUAAUGCAUCGGAACGUGCCCAGUAGUGGGGGAUAGCCCGGCGAAAGCCGGAUUAAUACCGCAUACGACCUACGGGUGAAAGCGGGGGAUCGCAAGACCUCUCGCUAUUGGAGCGGCCGAGGUCAGAUUAGCUAGUUGGUGGGGUAAAGGCCUACCAAGGCGACGAUCUGUAGCUGGUCUGAGAGGACGACCAGCCACACUGGGACUGAGACACGGCCCAGACUCCUACGGGAGGCAGCAGUGGGGAAUUUUGGACAAUGGACGCAAGUCUGAUCCAGCCAUGCCGCGUGCGGGAAGAAGGCCUUCGGGUUGUAAACCGCUUUUGUCAGGGAAGAAAUCUUCUGGGUUAAUACCUCGGGAGGAUGACGGUACCUGAAGAAUAAGCACCGGCUAACUACGUGCCAGCCGCCGCAGUAA